GUAUCAGACAAAACGAGUAUUUAUUAUCUCGUUAGCCUGCCAGUAUGUUCAACAUAUAAGCGCGCAUAUAUAAAUGAAUCACUUGGAUUUUCGUCACGCCGUGACGGGCUUUUCUUUCGCGAGAUAUAUCACGGUCAGUAUACGCGUGGCCCGAAGCGUUCCCGCCAUGUUCUCUCUGUGUUUUGGUCUGCAAAGAUUCGAGCUGUGACAACUUCGAAUGCGCAUCAUAAUUACAGCUAACCAUAUAAGUGGAUGAAUCAGGAUGACACACACAUAUCUGACUGAGUUAAAUUGCACCAAAGUUAUUUUUAGUGUCAAUCGUCAGACUGGAGGACACGGAGAAUUAUCAGGUUUUCGAAGCAGCGCCGUACAACGAUUGAGUGGUUACCGGUCUCCAGUUUAACAUAGCAAGAUGUGCACAGAGAU